ensembl:snRNA U6 U6 spliceosomal RNA
GUGCUGGCUUCAGCAGCACAUAUACUAAAAUUACAACAAUACAGAGAAGAUUAGCAUGGCUCCUGUGCAAGGAUGGCAUGCAAAUUCAUGAAGCCUUCCAUAUUUAA